rnacentral:tRNA from 1 species
CAGAAUAUAGUUUAUUUAAAACUUAAUCUUUGGAAGAUUACAUUCAAUUUUUUGUUUUCUGA